AGGGAAUCUUCCGCAAUGGACGAAAGUCUGACGGAGCAACGCCGCGUGAGUGAUGAAGGUUUUCGGAUCGUAAAGCUCUGUUGUUAGGGAAGAACAAGUACCGUUCGAAUAGGGCGGUACCUUGACGGUACCUAACCAGAAAGCCACGGCUAACUACGUGCCAGCAGCCGCGGUAAUACGUAGGUGGCAAGCGUUGUCCGGAAUUAUUGGGCGUAAAGGGCUCGCAGGCGGUUUCUUAAGUCUGAUGUGAAAGCCCCCGGCUCAACCGGGGAGGGUCAUUGGAAACUGGGGAACUUGAGUGCAGAAGAGGAGAGUGGAAUUCCACGUGUAGCGGUGAAAUGCGUAGAGAUGUGGAGGAACACCAGUGGCGAAGGCGACUCUCUGGUCUGUAACUGACGCUGAGGAGCGAAAGCGUGGGGAGCGAACAGGAUUAGAUACCCUGGUAGUCCACGCCGUAAACGAUGAGUGCUAAGUGUUAGGGGGUUUCCGCCCCUUAGUGCUGCAGCU
rnacentral:rRNA from 1 species